UACAGAGGUGGCGAGCGUUGUUCGGAUUUACUGGGCGUAAAGGGUGCGUAGGCGGUAUGGCAUGUCGGUUGUGAAAUCCCACGGCUCAACCGUGGACUUGCAUCCGAAACUGCCGUACUUGAGUACGGGAGAGGAGAGCGGAAUUCUCGGUGUAGCGGUGAAAUGCGUAGAGAUCGAGAGGAACACCGGCGGCGAAAGCGGCUCUCUGGAACGAUACUGACGCUGAGGCACGAAAGCUGGGGGAGCAAAAAGG
rnacentral:rRNA from 1 species